UUGACCUCAAAUCAGGUAGGACUACCCGCUGACUUAGCAUAUCAAUAAGCGGAGGA
rnacentral:rRNA from 1 species